GACAGCAGCCGCCACGGGAAUACAGAGGGUGCGAGCGUUAAUCGGAUUUACUGGGCGUAAAGCGUGCGUAGGCGGCUUCUUAAGUCGGAUGUGAAAUCCCCGAGCUUAACUUAGGAAUUGCAUUCGAUACUGGGAAGCUAGAGUAUGGGAGAGGAUGGUAGAAUUCCAGGUGUAGCGGUGAAAUGCGUAGAGAUCUGGAGGAAUACCGAUGGCGAAGGCAGCCAUCUGGCCUAAUACUGACGCUGAGGUACGAAAGCAUGGGGAGCAAACAGGAUUAGAUACCCCAGUAGUCCCUGUCUCUUAUAC
rnacentral:rRNA from 1 species